UCGCUUUAGCAGCACACAUACUAAAAUUGGUACGAUACAGAGAUUAGCAUGGCCCCUGUGCAAGGAUGACACACAAAUUCAUGUAUUUUAAAGAGUAGCU
ensembl:snRNA U6 U6 spliceosomal RNA